GGAAAACCCUUUUCCCUCUUGCCCGGCCGUGGGAAAGGACCCCCACGGCCGGCUCUCUCGCGCCCUCGCAGCUCUCUCUCUCUCCCGCUAAAACCCUAGCAAUCAUAACAUCUGGUAUCAGAUUUCUCACGCUCGAUCAUCCUCACCCCGUCGCCGCCGCUUCCUCUCGCCGUCACCUCGGAGGAGAUCGCCGGAGCAAUCAGCGAUCUCACCACCGCCAUCCAAGGGAUCUGCCUCUUCCUGGCCGGUCCCUACGGACCGCCGCCGGCCGCGCCAUCAGUCGCCGCCUACGGGCCAGNGUGCCACCCUAACAGUAUGGCGGGCCCUCCCGCUUCGCCGGUCCCGACGGUGCGCCAUUCCACGGGGGGUCCUCCAUGGUCACAGCACCGGCGCCGACCCCCUCACGGCCACCGCCGCCGCCCUCGACUUCGACCACGGCGCCGGUCUUCACGUUCCAGCAUGGGAUGUCCUACGACGGAACUGCGACGACCUCGUUCCCAGCAGCGCCACCGCCGUCCCAGGACAAUCCCAUCCAACAGAUCAAGUUCCAGCCGUCGACGGCACCGCUUCCAGCUUGG
rnacentral:lncRNA from 1 species